rnacentral:rRNA from 1 species
GGUGAACGCUAGCGGCAGGCCUAAUACAUGCAAGUCGAACGGGAUCCAGAUCAAAGCUUGCUUUGGUCUGGUGAGAGUGGCGCACGGGUGCGUAACGCGUGAGCAACCUACCCUUGUCAGGGGGAUAGCCCGGCGAAAGUCGGAUUAAUACCGCAUGACAUCAUUGAGAGGCAUCUUUCGAUGAUCAAAGAUUUAUCGGACAAGGAUGGGCUCGCGUGACAUUAGCUAGUUGGUAAGGUAACGGCUUACCAAGGCUGCGAUGUCUAGGGGCUCUGAGAGGAGAAUCCCCCACACUGGUACUGAGACACGGACCAGACUCCUACGGGAGGCAGCAGUAAGGAAUAUUGGUCAAUGGACGGAAGUCUGAACCAGCCAUGCCGCGUGCAGGAGGACGGCCCUAUGGGUUGUAAACUGCUUUUAUACGGGAACAAACGUCGGUACGUGUACCGGUCUGAGUGUACCGUAAGAAUAAGGAUCGGCUAACUCCGUG